rnacentral:rRNA from 1 species
GUGGGAACGUGCCUUUUGGUUCGGAACAACCCAGGGAAACUUGGGCUAAUACCGGAUAAGCCCUUCGGGGGAAAGAUUUAUCGCCAGAAGAUCGGCCCGCGUCUGAUUAGCUAGUUGGUGGGGCAAUGGCCCACCAAGGCUACGAUCAGUAGCUGGUCUGAGAGGAUGAUCAGCCACACUGGGACUGAGACACGGCCCAGACUCCUACGGGAGGCAGCAGUUAGGAAUCUUGGACAAUGGGCGCAAGCCUGAUCCAGCCAUGCCGCGUGAGUGAUGAAGGCCUUAGGGUUGUAAAGCUCUUUCAGCGGGGGAGAUAAUGACGGUACCCGCAGAAGAAGCCCCGGCUAACUUCGUGCCAGCAGCCGCGGUAAUACGAAGGGGGCUAGCGUUGCUCGGAAUCACUGGGCGUAAAGCGCACGUAGGCGGCUUUCUAAGUCAGGGGUGAAAUCCUGGAGCUCGACUCCAGAACUGCCUUUGAUACUGGAGAGCUUGAGUCCGGAAGAGGUGAGUGGAACU